rnacentral:rRNA from 1 species
UGGGGAAUUUUGGACAAUGGGCGAAAGCCUGAUCCAGCAAUGCCGCGUGUGUGAAGAAGGCCUUCGGGUUGUAAAGCACUUUUGUCCGGAAAGAAAUCCUUGGCUCUAAUACAGUCGGGGGAUGACGGUACCGGAAGAAUAAGCACCGGCUAACUACGUGCCAGCAGCCGCGGUAAUACGUAGGGUGCAAGCGUUAAUCGGAAUUACUGGGCGUAAAGCGUGCGCAGGCGGUUUGCUAAGACCGAUGUGAAAUCCCCGGGCUCAACCUGGGAACUGCAUUGGUGACUGGCAGGCUAGAGUAUGGCAGAGGGGGGUAGAAUUCCACGUGUAGCAGUGAAAUGCGUAGAGAUGUGGAGGAAUACCGAUGGCGAAGGCAGCCCCCUGGGCCAAUACUGACGCUCAUGCACGAAAGCGUGGGGAGCAAACAGGAUUAGAUACCCUGGUAGUCCACGCCCUAAACGAUGUCAACUAGUUGUUGGGGAUUCAUUUCCUUAGUAACGUAGCUAACGCGUGAAGUUGACCGCCUGGGGAGUACGGUCGCAAGAUUAAAACUUAAAUGAA